ensembl:scaRNA SCARNA6 small Cajal body-specific RNA 6
GGUCAAUGAUGUGAUGUAAAAGGUCUGAGACCCAGUUCCCCUCCCCUGCCGUCCACCGUCUCCUUGCUGCACCAGCACCCAGCAUGCUCUAGUUGUGCAAUGCUGGGCCCUGGGAGCUGCCGACAAAAGAGGAUGACCUCACAUUCUGUGUCUGUAAGAGAUCAUAGAGUCACAGGGAUGAGGGACAUCUAACAGAGCCAUUCACAAAGGUGUAUCAGGCUGAGGUAUGGGGCUGGGCCACUGAUCUCAACUUUUAAACUGAGACC